GACGAACGCUGGCGGCGUGCUUAACACAUGCAAGUCGAACGGAAAGGCCUCAGCUUGCUGGGGUACUCGAGUGGCGAACGGGUGAGUAACACGUGGGUGAUCUGCCUUGCACUCUGGGAUAAGCUUGGGAAACUGGGUCUAAUACCGGAUAUGAACUGCCUUUAGUGUGGUGGUUGGAAAGUUUUUUCGGUACAAGAUGAGCUCGCGGCCUAUCAGCUUGUUGGUGGGGUAAUGGCCUACCAAGGCGUCGACGGGUAGCCGGCCUGAGAGGGUGUACGGCCACAUUGGGACUGAGAUACGGCCCAGACUCCUACGGGAGGCAGCAGUGGGGAAUAUUGCACAAUGGGCGGAAGCCUGAUGCAGCGACGCCGCGUGGGGGAUGACGGCCUUCGGGUUGUAAACUCCUUUCGACAGGGACGAAGCUUUUUGUGACGGUACCUGUAUAAGAAGCACCGGCUAACUACGUG
rnacentral:rRNA from 1 species